UACGUAGGGGGCAAGCGUUGUCCGGAAUCAUUGGGCGUAAAGCGCGUGUAGGCGGCCAGAAAAGUCCGCUGUGAAAACUCGAGGCUCAACUUCGAGCUGUCGGUGGAAACUUUCUGGCUAGAGUCCGGAAGAGGAGAAUGGAAUUCCUGGUGUAGCGGUGAAAUGCGUAGAUAUCUGGAGGAACACCGGUGGCGAAGGCGGCAUCCUGGACCAAUAUUGACGCUGAGGAGCGAAAGCCAGGGGAGCAAACGGG
rnacentral:rRNA from 1 species